UACGUAGGUGGCGAGCGUUGUCCGGAUUUACUGGGCGUAAAGGGAGCGUAGGCGGACUUUUAAGUGAGAUGUGAAAUACCCGGGCUCAACUUGGGUGCUGCAUUUCAAACUGGAAGUCUAGAGUGCAGGAGAGGAGAAUGGAAUUCCUAGUGUAGCGGUGAAAUGCGUAGAGAUUAGGAAGAACACCAGUGGCGAAGGCGAUUCUCUGGACUGUAACUGACGCUGAGGCUCGAAAGCGUGGGGAGCAAACAGGAUUAGAUACCCCUGUA
rnacentral:rRNA from 1 species